rnacentral:rRNA from 1 species
GACGAACGCUGGCGGCGUGCCUAAUACAUGCAAGUAGGACGCAGUUGCGAACGGGUGAGUAACGCGUAGGUCACUAACUAUGAGAGGGGGGUAACUAUUGGAAACGAUAGCUAAUAACGCAUACUUGACGAAGGAACUGCGUUGGAUUAGCUAGUAGGUGGGGUAAUGGCCUACCUAGGCAACGAUCCAUAGCCGACCUGGGAGGGUGAUCGGCCACACUGGGACUGAGACACGGACCAGACUCCUACGGGAGGCAGCAGUAGGGAAUCUUCCGCAAUGGGCGGAACCCUGACCGAGCAACGCCGCGUGAGUGAUGAAGGUUUUCGGAUCGUAAAGCUCUGUUGUUCAGGAAGCGGUACUUAACCAGAAAGCCACGGCUAACUACGUGCCAGCAGCCGCGGUAAUUC